rnacentral:rRNA from 1 species
UACAGAGGGUGCGAGCGUUGUCCGGAAUCACUGGGCGUAAAGGGCGCGUAGGUGGCGAGCCAAGUCCAUGGUGAAAGCUCGAUGCUCAACAUCGAGUCGGCCACGGAUACUGGUGCGCUUGAGCACUGUAGAGGCUAAUGGAAUUCCGGGUGUAGCGGUGGAAUGCGUAGAGAUCCGGAAGAACACCGGUGGCGAAGGCGGUUAGCUGGGCAGUUGCUGACACUGAGGAGCGAAAGCGUGGGGAGCAAACAGG